rnacentral:snoRNA from 1 species
GAGCACUGUUCGUAACCUGUUAGCCUGGCUGUAGCUGACAGGUUCCAUUCCAGUGCAACAGCAUGUCCAGGGACACAUGACUGACUGACUGACUGGUGGCUUUCAGUUUCAGGUCUUGGAGACAAAU